UAGAGGCUUGCAAAGUGAAGGCUGGGGUGGCAGUUUUAGCAAUUUUAUUUAUGAGUGGAGCCUCAGUGAAGAGGAGGAAACUGUUAUUUAGGUUUUUUCUAUAAAAUAAAUCUGAGAAAACUGUGAUAGACUAAUGAAAUAUUAGCAGUAAUACAUUGUAAACAGAUGCCAACUGCAGUUAAACUCCAGAGGAAGUGCUUGCAGAUACGUGGCUUCCUGAGGACACAACUUUCUGUUUCAUCACUAAUCCUCCAGCAUUGUUGUUUUGGUGGCGCAGGCUUCUUCCUUGAUACAUCUUCACAUCUUUUUUCAGUGCACCUCCAGACUGAAUUUUUCAUUUUCCUGACAAAUAAAAACAACUGGACUAUCUGGAUCUGUGCUGGUGGAAGUUGGCAUAAUGGCAAAACAAACAGUACCAGCAGUUUGCAUCUUAGUGCUUUUAUUCGUCACAGUCUUUACUCAAGUGAUAGUUGGUUGGAACUCCAACGAAGACUGUCCAGGAAUUCCCUUCAUCCCUAUUUAUCUUUGUGGACCCAUCAUUGCCUUCUUUGCAUGGUGUAUGUACAGGUCAUGUAACCUGCUUUGUUUGUCCGUGACCACCCUCUUCUUCAUUUGCUGGUACAUUGCUGGUAAUGCAGUGAUCUACAGCAAUUAUAAACAACUACAGAUUACAGACUACAGAUACUGCAAUAAGACGCUCUACCUUUUUGCAUUUUGGAGCACCACUCUGACCAACGUCUUAUUAUUUAUUUGUUGUUGUUGCUGUUGUAAAGAAGAGGCAGAUGAGGUUGUUGAUGUUCAAGUAUAAAUACACAAAAACUAGAAAACUAGAUAAUCUGCAACAUAUUAUACAUUUAAUAGGUUACUGUUUGCAAAAAUUUAAAAAAAAAAAAAUUUUAAGUAUCUGUAUUUAACUCAAACAGAAACUAGAAAAAUGUUGACAAUGUACGUAUCCAGAUAAAUGGUAGUGUUAUCAAGAGGGUAAAAUUUGCAAUAUUUUGGAAGGUUUGAUGACUUUGUGACUUCCAAGAGGCAAAUUGAUGGUUUUAUGAAAAAAGUUUUGAAUUAUGUUGUUUUUUUAAAAUUCAGAAAUUGUCCUGAAUGUGAAUUGCUGUGAUAAUAACAUUGUGUAAUAUGCGUCCUACUUAUUUUAGGAGAUUGCAGACGUUACAAAAACAGUUAUAUUUAGCUGUAUCAUGGUCCAAGGUAGAUGCUCUCCCUAAUCCUCUUCUUCAUUAUAGACUUCUGAAGUUGUUUAAAUAUAACAUCCUUCAUAAUGCCCAUGUAAUGCAUAAUGUUGUUGUUUUUUUGGGGGGGGGGGGGGGGGGUGUACGUGUCACUCUUCAGAUGUCACUGGAGUCGCGUUAUCUUUAAGGUAUUCUUGGGAUGUUUGAGUGAUUUAGGUUAGUAUGAUGAUGUCUUUUGGGAAUUAUAUAUAUACACAUGUAUUUCAUAUAUAGUCCACAUUCACAAAUUAUUCACAAAUCAUUAUUUCAAAAAUAACUGCAUCAUAUUCAUGAUCGUGUUUGAAUUUGUAUUGUAGUCGAUUUGUGAAUAAAUUGAACUGACUUACA